UAUAAGUGCAACAAUAAGUUUCUGCGUCCAACUUUGAUCGUUCGUCUUAUUUGAAAUUUAUUUAUAGUUAGUAUUUUCGUUGUUAUGAGAUGAUAAAACAUGAAUAGUACUUUACUCGUGACUUAUGUUUUUAAAUUUUUUCAAAAAAUUCAAAAAAUUUUGCAAAUAAGACGGACGGUCAAAGUUGAACGCGGAAAACCAUGACUGCACUUAUA
rfam:Oryza rufipogon genomic scaffold, chr09